CGGGCUGUAACUCAGCUGGUAAGAGUGCCAAUCUGAUACGUUGGAAGUCGCAGGUUCAAGUCCUGCCAGCCCGA
rnacentral:tRNA from 2 species